GUUCUUAAAAAUAAUAAUAAUUAAAAUAAUAUUUAAAAAAAUGCAAAAUCCUUACUAGAAUAAUAAGAAUAUCAUAUAAAAACAUUUCAAAUAAUAUUUGAACAAUUAAAUAUAAAAUAUUCCAUAUUCCUUUUUUUAGUGUCGAUAAUUACAAUGAAGAUAUAUUGGUAUGGAAAAUAUAGUGCUGUAAACUUUUUGAAAAAAGAAGCGCGAUAGCCGGUUACAUUUGAAAAAAGGACUGCCGUUAUUUGUGAAAACAUAUCAUUGGCUAUUCAAAAAAAGAAACGCGGAUCCAAACUGAAAAGAAUAUCUGUUCGGGUUCAGAUUCGGAUAAAAAUAACAGUUCAAGGUUCAGGUUCAGUUCGCAAAAAAUAAAAAUAUCGGUUCAGUUCGAGCGCUUUUGUAUUCAAACCUACAUUCGAAUAAUGUAUAGGGAAAAUUUUUUAUUUAUUUCAUAAUUAAAAUAAAAAACACAUACAUAAAACCUUCAUUUUUAUUAAUUGCGCAAUAUAAAAUAAUAUUUAAUUUAUAAAUAUAACAAAUAAAUAUCAACGAUUAAUUUUAAUAUAAACAAUUACUUAAAAUUUUUUUAUAAACCGCACAAUUAAUAUAUUUUCAAAAUUCGUCUCACUCAAAUUACAUCUACAAUGAGAUAAUAUAAAUUUAAUUGUAAAAACAUCUUUCCACACCAACUUGGGUAGCCGGCUCUACCAGUAUGAUAUCAGAUUUGAUGUGUCAUUUAUAAUACUAUAUUUAAAUAAUUUAUAUAUUGGAAUUAAUUUUUCUCUAGGCAUUAUAAUUUAUAAGCUUCAAAUAUUUAAAAAAUGUUGUAAAAUGACAAUAUACUAAAGUUUAUAAAAAUUAUGACUGACACUUAUCAAUCAAAUGUGAUUGACAAUAAUCUUUAAAAUAAUUCGAAUAUAAUUUAAAUUUUUGCAAUAUACUAAUAAUAACUUACACAUUAUUUUAUAAGCAUAUAAUUAUGAGAUUCGAACCGGUUCAGAGGCAUUUUAGAGGUUCGGUUCAUGUUCGGC